rnacentral:rRNA from 1 species
GGACAGAGGACGAUAAGUCUGAAGAGGCGGGUCUAUACAUGCAAGUCGAACGCUUUUUCUUUCACCGGAGCUUGCUCCACCGAAAGAAAAAGAGUGGCAAACGGGUGAGUAACACAUGGGUAACCUGCCCAUCAGAAGGGGAUAACACUUGGAAACAGGUGCUAAUACCGUAUAACACUAUUUUCCGCAUGGAAGAAAGUUGAAAGGCGCUUUUGCCUCACUGAUGGAUGGACCCGCGGGGCAUUAACUAAUUGGUGAGGUAACGGCUCACCAAGGCAACAAUGAAUAGCCGACCUGAGAGGGUGAUCGGCCACACUGGGACUGAGACACGGCCCAGACUCCUACGGGAGGCAGCAGUAGGGAAUCUUCGGCAAUGGACGAAAGUCUGACCGAGCAACGCCGCGUGAGUGAAGAAGGUUUUCGGAUCGUAAAACUCUGUUGUUAGAGAAGAACAAGGAUGAGAGUAAAAUGUUCAUCCCUUGACGGUAUCUAACCAGAAAGCCACGGCUAACUACGUGCCAGCAGCCGCGGUAAUACGUAGGUGGCAAGCGUUGUCCGGAUUUAUUGGGCGUAAAGCGAGCGCAGGCGGUUUCUUAAGUCUGAUGUGAAAGCCCCCGGCUCAACCGGGGAGGGUCAUUGGAAACUGGGAGACUUGAGUGCAGAAGAGGAGAGUGGAAUUCCAUGUGUAGCGGUGAAAUGCGUAGAUAUAUGGAGGAACACCAGUGGCGAAGGCGGCUCUCUGGUCUGUAACUGACGCUGAGGCUCGAAAGCGUGGGGAGCGAACAGGAUUAGAUACCCUGGUAGUCCACGCCGUAAACGAUGAGUGCUAAGUGUUGGAGGGUUUCCGCCCUUCAGUGCUGCAGCAAACGCAUUAAGCACUCCGCCUGGGGAGUACGACCGCAAGGUUGAAACUCAAAGGAAUUGACGGGGGCCCGCACAAGCGGUGAGCAUGUGGUUUAAUUCGAAGCAACGCGAGAACCUUACCAGGUCUUGACAUCCUUUGACACUCUAGAGAUAGAGCUUCCCUUCGGGGCAAGUGACAGGUGGUGCAUGUUGUCGUCAGCUCGUGUCGUGAGAUGUGGAAGUCCGCCACGAGCGCAACCUUAUUGUAGGGCCAUCAUUAAGUGGGACAUCUAGCGAAAACUGGCGGUGACGGAAAGUGGGGAUGAA